AGCGAACGCUGGCGGUAGGCUUAACACAUGCAAGUCGAACGGCAGCACAGUAAGAGCUUGCUCUUACGGGUGGCGAGUGGCGGACGGGUGAGGAAUACAUCGGAAUCUACUUUUUCGUGGGGGAUAACGUAGGGAAACUUACGCUAAUACCGCAUACGACCUACGGGUGAAAGCAGGGGAUCUUCGGACCUUGCGCGAUUGAAUGAGCCGAUGUCGGAUUAGUUAGUUGGCGGGGUAAAGGCCCACCAAGGCGACGAUCCGUAGCUGGUCUGUGAGGAUGAUCAGCCGCACUGGAACGGGGACACGUGCCAGACUACUACGGGAGGCAGCAGUGGGGAAUAUUGGACAAUGGGCGCAAGCCUUAUCCAGCCAUACCGCGUGGGUGAAGAAGGCCUUCGGGUUGUAAAGCCCUUUUGUUGGGAAAGAAAAGCAGCAGGUUAAUACCCCGCUGUUCUGACGGUACCCAAAGAAUAAGCACCGGCUAACUUCGUG
rnacentral:rRNA from 1 species